rnacentral:lncRNA from 1 species
AGAAGAUGGAUGGAGGUCAGUGAGGUUUACAGCUGUUGCAGCUGCCUGGACCACUGGUGCAUACUUUCAAGGACCAACAUCUUAUAGAUUCCUAUAUAGUGUCCAAUUAGUGUCCUUCUGUGACAGCUUCCUCUGCUGGGGCCAGACUCUGGUGGCUUCAGUUCCAGUAAGAGGUGCAUUUACAGGAGAUUCUGGGGACACAAGCACGUGGCAGCCUCUUCCUUCCGCAGUUCCGCUGGUCCAGUGGCGGUUUUCUGGUGUUCCGUGUUGAGGAGUGAGGUUGGGUGAGUUUGCAGAGCUCAGCUUUGGGGCCUGUCCUGUUAGUAGGAAGCCCUGUGAAACCUGAAGACUUGGUGCUUUUUCUCUUUUGAAGUCAGGCGUUUGAGGACCCAGUGCCCUUGUGCUUAAAGACGGGAAUCCCCCAGCUGCUUAACAGAUAAGGAAGAUAAGGAAGCCUGGUUUUAAGAAACACAGAUAACACCUUUGUAGAUUGCCUAUUUGUUCUAGAACUACAAAAUUUAAUUCAAGAAAAUAUAGGUCCCAUGAAAGACUUAAAAGUUUAUAAAACUAAAAUCUAGUCUCCCCCAAUAAAUUGUAUUUUAGGCAAAAUCCUCCCAAAUGCUUCUAAAAUAAUACUAAAAAGGGCAUCUGAUUAUACAAGAGCAAUUAAAAAAAUUAAAUAUUUAUUUGAAUAACAACUUUUAUGUUGGAGCUGCAAUGUUGACAAUGCAGGUUUUUAACACAAAUCACAGAAUUCGUGCACAAAGACAAGAUGUGCCAAGACAAGAUGUGCUAAGACUUGGGCUAAAGAGCUGCUGAUUUUAAACAAGAGGCCUGGAAUCACAAUACAAAAUAUAAAAUGUAUUCAACACUACCAUCCACACAACAGUCCUUAGUAUUGAUUAUAUUUAAAAAUUAUUUGCGAAGUAAAUUAUAUAUUGAAUUAUAAAUGAGUAUUAUACAUGAACCCCCGCAUCGGAAGGCAGUUCCUCGUCGCACUAUAGAACAUCUAAAGAACACUGCAAAAAGUAUCCUUUUCCCUAUUAGUAAAAACCAUUAAUGGUAUUACUGCAAGUCUCAGGAAAGCUUUGUUUGUUCUAAAAGAACAUUCCUUUUUUGUAUUCCAAGUGCAUUCCAUGCCAAGCAAAGCACCUGCCAUACUGAACUGAGAGAGCUACUGGAUAAGAAGUCCCUCGAGUUAUUCGACUCAACUUUACAAAUCAAACACUCGAAGGAGCCAUGCAACCCUCUGACUACGGGGAGACCAUCAUGUCACUUACCAUUCUGUCUUUCUAGAAUGUCAACUGAGACACUUGACAACAGAUCAGACUGAGAUGAGAGGCAGAAAUGAGAAGACACAGAAGGCUAGUGGCACUCCUCUCAGCAAUGCCCGAGUGGCAGAAAAGCACCUUUAGAGAGCGCCUAUGCGGCAAGAGACACACAGCUAAAGAUUCAAAAUGAAUCAACAGGAUUGGAUAACAGGAUCACUCUCAACUCAGAAGCUGCCUGGAGGUCGGGUGCAUCUUCAGUUAAUGUAACAGGAAAAGGCGGCCAUGGAUUUCAUUUUAUUAAUUGCAUCCACUCAUAAACCGACCUAGGGUCACCAGAUGUGUAGACACAAUGAGAUUUUGUUGUUCUUAGAGUCUUUAAUUGAAGUGAUGAUAAAGGAAAUAGAUCUAUUUAAAAACAAAAUCAAAUAGCUCUGUCUGGAUUAGGAGGUGGCACCAGGUGUGGGGUUCACGUUUUGUGUGGCUACUUGAGGUGCGACUUCAAUAAUCCGAGGCUUGUCGAUGAUCCUGGCUGUGCGGUUGCCCUUCUCCACUAUCCCAAUAAUCCAUGCUUGGUGCCCUUCGCCGUAUUUGGGGGACUUGAUCUCUGCACAGAACCGAGCUGCUUGCUCACGGGGUAGACAGAUUAGCAGGCCUCCUG